GUCAAAAGUAUUACAAUGAAGCAGGAACUCACUUUUUUAGUGCAGUAAUACAUUAAUAUUUAUCUUAACGCUAAAGAAUGUAAUUUUUAUUUUAAAAAAAUGUUUUUUUACAUAUUUGUUAAAACCGUCACCAUGUUGCUAACCUAUAUGAACAUCGAGUCCUUCCAUGUCUGAAGAAAUGCUCAUCUCAGAAACAACCAAUCAGAGCCAGGAGGAGGGGCUUAGCACUGUCAAUAAUCCUUGUGUAUGUGCUGCUAAAUGUGCUAAAGGCAGAGAAUCAACUUGCAGUUAAAGAAAAUGCUCUGUAUAGUUACAGAGCAUGGUACUGUUAUUGGUGGUCAUGCUAACUAGCUUUAGCAUUCCUGGGGAGGAUGUGAACAGCAUGUACCAGAGAAUGAUUGACAGCGCUAAGACCCUCCUCCUUGCUCUGCUUGGUUGUUUGUGACCAAGCUGUAUAUUUCUGUCUCAACAUAGUGACAGUUUUAACACAUAUUUUAAAAAACAAUUUUCUUAAAAUAGAAGUUAAAUACGCCAGAUUAAAGACAUAAUAGUUUCUUCGUUGUGGUUGAGUAAUAAAGUACCAACGAUCUGAAUCCCUGAUUCUGAUUAACCUAAUCAGGUGGUGUGUGUGUGUCUCCAUUUUUUCUAGGUAAUUGUGUUGAUCGGCUACAUGAUCCCGUGUCAUCUUUUGACCCCAAUUAUGCUUUUCUUGUUUUUUUUUCUGACAGUCGGGUCCAGCCACUCAUCAUGCAUGACUCCUGGCUGCAUAUUAACAGCUGUGUGCCACGGUGCAGCUGUGGACCGGCACCACAGAUGGUGCUGAAUACUGGAUGAGAUGGUGGAGCUGCAUGAUGGAAGCCGCCUGGACGAGGUUGGAUCAGGUUAGGCUGGCGGUUCAUGACCCCAGUUAGCAGUCGCUCUCUUCCUGUGAUUCGUUUCUGCAAAAAUCCAUUCUGAUUUUAUCUCCUUCUUUCACCCAAGUAUUCUUAUUUUAAGACAUUUCCCACAUUUUCACCGGUGUGAAAAGCGCCGUUCGCAGACAGACGGUUUAAAAACCAGUAGCUGCUGGUUUGACGCCACUGACCGAAGCUGCAGCCUCGUUUCCAGAUGUUCCCCUCUGCGCUCCUCAGACACAGCAGUAAUUCAGCUGGUAGGGAUGUUUACCAUUUGGAGGAGUUUACAGUUUUUGGUAACGUGAAAGGAAGCCCUCAGCGCCAGCAGAUGCACAAACUACACUCUGUUUUAUGGCACCAAAGCAUUUCUGCCUGCAGAAACGAACUGAAAUGCUUCAACAUGCUAGCGAGAUCCGUUCAGAUUAAGGGCUUCCAGGCAUUACAGCGUCAGAACAGAACACAGAGUGUCGAGCUUGGACUGCGGUCACACUGCAGCGGCAACGUGACCACCUGCGACACCUUAUCGAGUCUGAGAGCGCACAAAGUCAUCUUUUAGGUGAAGAAUGUGGGUCAGAGAGACCCGAGGACCAUCCAGAGUCAUGAAUCAGCAGAUGAGUGAAAUUCAACCCGAAUGCUGCCUGGGUUUCAGCCUGAACUGAUACAAACGUGACUUAAGUUUUGGGUGAUUUUUUUUCUGAUCCUGUUCAGAAAUCAAGUCUGAGCCAAACUGGCGACAUGGAGUAAAAACUGUUUUUUACUCCAUGUUGUUUUUAUUUUUAAGCAGUUAAGAUUUCUCAAAAAGGCCCAAAAUCUGGGUGACAGAUUCAGACGUGAACGAUCAGAGCCACAUAAAGAUGGUUACAAAGCCAGCCUUCCAUCACCUGAAGAACAUUUCCAGGAUUAGAGGACUAAUGCCUCAGCACGACCUGGACAAACUUGUCCAUGCGUUUAUCUUUAGUCACAUUGACUUCUGAACAGUUUCUUCACUUUUCUGCCUAAAAAGAUCAAUCCUCCAGCUGCAGCUGAUCCAGAACCCUGCAGCUGCUGCUGGCGUUCUGACUAAAACCAGGAAGAUGGAGCUCAUCACCAUGAGUUUGUUUCAGCUUAUCAAGUGACUAAUUGAUUUAUUGCCUGGUUAACAUAACAGAAGGUUUCUUUUCUCACCAGCAAACCAGGUUUAGGCCGUUAUCUUCCUCUUUGUCUUUACUUUUGCUGAUGUGGACCCUGCAACUAGGAGCAAUUUUAAAAAACAAAACGCAAGUAAGCCGUUUAAAAUGUCAAGCUAAGGCCUGGGAGACAAUUCAAGUGCACACUGCUGUGUUAAAUUAUCAAAUUAAGCAAAUUUUAAUCUAUUAUCUCUGCAGAAAAUAAUCAGGAAAGAGUUUGAACUUAUCUUGGUGAACAGCACAAUCUUUCCUUCUGCUGUAACUUAUUGUC